CCUUUAAAUGGUUUUCAAUAGCACAACUUCCUUUAAUAUCUUUACACUCGGUCCAGCGAGGAGAAAAGAAAAAUCCGUCAACGGGAACUCCAUGGAGUAACAAUCAGUAAAAAAGAUCGAACGAUGGAAUCAAAAUCGGAAUUUCACCUUGAAUUCACAAAACUUUCGACCUCUUAUUUUUCGAUUUCUGCCUUCUCUAGUUACUUUUUAAUUGUUCUCCGUUUGUUCAAAGGAACGGGAAAAUAAGAAGAAGAAAAUUAGGCAAUAUUACCCGAAACUGAAGCCUUUCAUUAAUGUUUCUAUAUCCCUAUAUUCGUUCACUUCACUUUAUGGAUUGGAGACGAUAGCUUGUGGUGGUGCCGUUGUUUUGAAGGUGUCAAGAAGAAGGGAUGCCCGAUGGUGUGAGGUGAACAAGUAGAGCGGCGAUGGGGGUGGUCCGGCAGCUGGAAACGGUGGAAGCUACUUGGUGAAGAGAGGAAUUUUGUUGCUUCAACUAGUCUCGGGUCUGUCGCCGCUAUUUCGAAGAAGAAGGGAUCAUUUGGUGUUCUGCCGCGGCUUGUUGUGGAGUUCCGGCGGGUUUUGGUUUAACAGCUGCUGGCGGCAAUUCUGGUUGAUUGAGGGUUGGUUGCUGGUUGUUGUUGGUGAGGGAGAUGGAGAUGGUGGUGUUGAGAUGAGGAACAUGCCGUGGCGAUGGUGUUUGGAGUCUAGGGUUCUGCUAAGGGUUUUGUUGUUGUGUAUUAUCUUGUUUAAGGAAGAAAAAAGUUAGCUAUUCUAGGUUUUGGGCUUUUUGGGUUAUGGAAGAAGCGAG
rnacentral:lncRNA from 1 species